UACGGGGGGGGCAAGCGUUGUUCGGAAUUACUGGGCGUAAAGGGCUCGUAGGUGGCCAACUAAGUCAGACGUGAAAUCCCUCGGCUUAACCGGGGAACUGCGUCUGAUACUGGAUGGCUUGAGGUUGGGAGAGGGAUGCGGAAUUCCAGGUGUAGCGGUGAAAUGCGUAGAUAUCUGGAGGAACACCGGUGGCGAAGGCGGGUCUCUGGGCAACUCCUGACGCUGAGGCGCGAAAGCGUGGGGAGCAAACGGG
rnacentral:rRNA from 1 species